rnacentral:rRNA from 1 species
AACGAACGCUGGCGGCAGGCUUAACACAUGCAAGUCGAACGGAUGUAGCAAUACAUCAGUGGCAGACGGGUGAGUAACACGUGGGAACCUUCCUCGUUGUACGGGACAACUCAGGGAAACUUGAGCUAAUACCGUAUACGUCCGAGAGGAGAAAGAUUUAUCGCAAUGAGACGGGCCCGCGUCGGAUUAGCUAGUUGGUGGGGUAACGGCCUACCAAGGCGACGAUCCGUAGCNGAUCUGAGAGGAUGAUCAGCCACACUGGGACUGAGACACGGCCCAGACUCCUACGGGAGGCAGCAGUGGGAAUCUUGGACAAUGGGCGCAAGCCUGAUCCAGCCAUGCCGCGUGAGUGAAGAAGG